UCCUCACUGUCUUAACUUCUCUAAUAACAGAACAAAGAAGAAGACAACAGAGCAAAAAAGAGAAAGAGAGUUAAAUAUGGCGCGAAGUCUCUUCCUGGUGUUGCUCAUCGUGCUUCUCUCUUCACCAGAGAUUUACGCCGGACAUGAUUACCGCGACGCACUCCGCAAAAGCAUCAUGUUCUUCGAAGGUCAGCGUUCCGGCAAGCUUCCUCCCGAUCAACGUCUCAGAUGGCGCCGUGACUCAGCAUUACGCGACGGUUCUUCCGCCGGCGUGGAUUUGUCGGGAGGUUACUACGACGCAGGAGACAAUGUCAAGUUCGGUUUCCCGAUGGCGUUCACGACAACAAUGCUGUCGUGGAGCAUUAUCGACUUCGGGAGAACCAUGGGACCUGAGCUUAGAAACGCCGUGAAAGCCGUCAAGUGGGGAACUGACUAUCUCCUUAAAGCGACGGCGAUUCCCGGCGUUGUUUUCGUUCAGGUGGGAGACGCUUACUCCGACCAUAACUGCUGGGAGAGGCCAGAAGACAUGGACACGCUUCGCACCGUCUACAAAAUCGACAGAGCUCAUCCUGGAUCAGACGUAGCCGGUGAAACCGCCGCCGCUUUGGCCGCGGCUUCGAUCGUUUUCAGGAAACGUGAUCCUGCUUACUCCAGACGGCUCCUUGACCGAGCCACAAGGGUAUUUGCGUUUGCUAAUAGGUAUCGUGGUGCGUACAGUAACAGUCUUUACCACGCGGUGUGUCCUUUUUACUGUGAUUUCAACGGUUACCAGGACGAGUUACUGUGGGGUGCGGCGUGGCUGCACAAAGCCUCGAGGAAACGAGCGUACAGAGAAUUCAUUGUGAAGAACGAGGUGGUUCUCAGGGCUGGAGAUACCAUCAAUGAGUUUGGUUGGGAUAAUAAGCAUGCUGGGAUUAAUGUCUUAAUCUCCAAGGAAGUGCUAAUGGGAAAAGCAGAGUAUUUUGAGUCUUUCAAGCAAAACGCAGAUGGAUUUAUCUGCUCUAUAUUGCCUGGAGUAUCUCACCCUCAAGUCCAAUACUCUCGAGGUUACAUAUGGACAAAUGCAACAUUGAACAAAGCAAUGUGCGAUCCUUUUGAAAAUAUCAAGAACAAAGCAAAUAAAGAUAGAGACACAAACUUUGGAAGUUUGAUAGAGUGUCCAAGUUUAUUAAAGGAGCCACACGCAAAUAAUCUGCGUCCUUCAAAGUUUUCAGACUUGAUAAUAGUCACCGUAUAUCGUGACGUUGAGCGUUCCACAACUUCGAGUCUCACCGGGAUGAGUCUCGUUGAAUCUUCUGGUCCCAAACGAACCAUCACACAAGAUAACAAGCAGUUGAGAAAACGAAAGUACUCAUAGGCUUUGACACCAAGAGACAUGUACCUCUCAUAAAGAGGAAUUUUGGUGGAAAGGUUCACUCCAACAAGGAGGAGGAUGGAAAAAGACGAUCUCUCAUGGCCCCGGCAUGAGGAAAUUUGGCUAGCCAAUGCUGUUGGAAAGGUGGCUAAGGGACUACUGGGAGUUUGUAAAACAGAUCUCUCUCGGUCAUGGCGAGAGGAAGUUACCAGGCUGUUUGAAAUAAGCUUUUGUUUCUCCAGAAUAUGCAACACAGAGGUGCGUAAGCUUGUUGAUGUAGAAGCACUUGGUGUUUGUUUGAUGAGAGCUAUGACCGUCCAAAAACCAACAAAAGCACCAAUUAACUUCAAAUAUGCUUCUUUGCUGCUUUGACUUUUGAGUGUGGGCUCCGAGAAGAAUCCAUUAAAUCUUGACACAUAGUAAGGCAGCCGUGAACGAUACUGUCUUUGUGUCUCAACCAUCGGAGUCUUCAUCUCCCAAAUCUUUUUCCAAUAAUGCACAGCACCAUUAGAGACAAAGACAACCAAAUAAUUGACAAAGACACCAUUGAGCAUACUUUGACUGUCUUUUAAAGACUCCAGAAGCUGUCCUCUAAGGUAAAGGAGUAAGUAUGUCGACAGUGGAGUGACAGGGUUCUCUGUACUUGCGGACGGAGAGAUGGGAUUGACACCAACUUCCGAGGGGACAAGCAUUGCAUCCACACAAAGUCUGCCCACUCCAGCAUUACCGUGUUGGAGCAAGAGAGGUUUGAUGGAACAAAGGCUGAGCAGUUGGUCGUUGAGGUCUGAAACGCUGAGAUACGGUGAGCAGUCGCCGGUAUGUGUAGCUACGAACAGUGUUUGCAAUGAACAGGGUUUGGUUGGUGGUUCGUCGAACAGGAGGUUCCUCGCUAGGAGAGUUCGGUGGUAGUGCUGAGAGCCUUUGAGGCUCAUAGAUCUAGCGAGCAGUGAGCAAAGAGGACUGUUAUCGGAGCCUCUUCUACACCAGAACCAGGUAGAAUCGAUCUUCCCCGGAGGGAGAAAAUUCAUCAUCUUAGGAGACGAGGAAGGUAGCGGCCGUCGCGUCAACUUGAGAACUGAGGUGAGAUGAAAGGCGGAGGAGAGACGGCGUUUGGGCGAGGUAAAGGUGAAACGAUGAAGAGCAGGAGAUACGUCUAGAGGGUCAGGAGGGUCUGGUGGUUCCAACGGUUCAAACGGGGAGAGAGAACCAAGUAGGGGAAGCUUACGCGGUGGAGGAUCGGGAGGAGGUCUGGGUCGCGACGGCGGAGGAGUUCACGAGGGCUGCUUGUGAAAACUGGAGGGAGUAACAUGCAACAUGUAACAUCACUAUCUUUCCUCCUAUUGGCUUACUCUAACUAUCUGAGCCAUGCCAAAAAGGUCGUGCCUUGUGGCGAAUUAACUGCCUCCCCAUCUCUCC